rfam:Ipomoea nil DNA, scaffold: scaffold1407, cultivar: Tokyo-kokei standard.
GAAGGAGACGUCCAAAGGGAUCGCAUUGAUCCCAUUUCACUUUCACACCAAUAUAUAUACACAUAUAUAUACACACACACACAUAUAUAUAGACAGAGAGAGAGAACUGCGGAUCAUGCUAUCCCUCUGGACAUCUCCUU